CAGCUGAGGAUAUAAAAAGCUGGAUCCUUGAGGAAACAUCUCAGAACCAUCUCUUCCCUUCUAACCUCUCAACCCUUCGAGAACCGCCUCUCUCCGAUAUCCUAAGAUGGCCAACCGCUCAAUGUGGAACGAAUGCUACGCUCAAUGCCCAGCUUCAACUGUGACCAUCCAGCCACCACCCUUUGUUCUCACCAUCCCAGGACCUGCCCUCUACUGUCCUGACCAGCCUCUGGGCAUUGAACAACACAAUCCUUGUGCCGCAGUUACUUUGCCCAUGCCAAGGGGUGGCUCCAACCUCACCAGCUUCUACUCCCGAGCUCUGCCAAGCUCUAACUUCAGCUCCUCCACUUAUCGGUCAUCGUAUUAACCUUCCUGAGCAUGAAGAUGAAGUCCUCCUCCAUCAAUGGACUUUUUGAGAGCCCUUCAGCUGACCAUUUGCCACGACACACACCUGUCUCUUUCCACGUUCACAUCCCAGCCAUACCUAACUUCUUUUCACUGUACAUUUGACAAGCCAUCGGACUCUGGUUUCCCUUCCGUCGAAUUCCCUAAGCAGAGAAAGAUCCUUCUGUACCGACAGGAUACGAUUCCGUAACUGGUCGAAAGGGGGCUAUGGAAGGUUGCCAAGAGGAAAACCCGGUUCUGGGGAUGGAAGUCCACCUUUUCAGUCAAUGUUCAUCUUGUAGAACAUGUUCUCAUGUGUCUUUGUUCAUAUUAAAAUAUCUCUAAGAUUGCAUUCCAAAA